rnacentral:tRNA from 1 species
GGGCCCAUAGCUCAGUCGGUUAGAGCAGGGGACUCAUAAUCCCUUGGUCGUUGGUUCGAGUCCAACUGGGCCUA